rnacentral:rRNA from 1 species
AGUGAACGCUGGCGGUAGGCCUAACACAUGCAAGUCGAACGGCAGCACAGUAAGAGCUUGCUCUUACGGGUGGCGAGUGGCGGACGGGUGAGGCAUACAUCGGAAUCUACUUUUUCGUGGGGGAUAACGUAGGGAAACUUACGCUAAUGCCGCAUACGACCUACGGGUGAAAGCAGUGGAUCUUCGGACCUUGCGCGAUUGAAUGAGCCGAUGUCGGAUUAGCUAGUUGGCGGGGUAAAGGCUCACCAAGGCGACGAUCCGUAGCUGGUCUGAGAGGAUGAUCAGCCACACUGGAACUGAGACACGGUCCAGACCCCUACGGGAGGCAGCAGUGGGGAAUAUUGGACAAUGGGCGCAAGCCUGAUCCAGCCAUACCGCGUGGGUGAGGAAGGCCUUCGGGUUGUAAAGCCCUUUUGUUGGGAAAGAAAAGCAGCAGGUUAAUACCCCGCUGUUCUGACGGUACCCAAAGAAUAAGCACCGGCUAACUUCGUG